UCGGGAAUUUUGCGCAAUGGACGAAAGUCUGACGCAGCAACGCCGCGUGAGGGAUGACGGCCUUCGGGUUGUAAACCUCUUUUGUCAGGGACGAUGAUGACGGUACCUGGCGAAUAAGCCACGGCUAACUACGUGCCAGCAGCCGCGGUAAUACGUAGGUGGCAAGCGUUGUCCGGAUUUACUGGGCGUAAAGAGCGCGCAGGCGGUCGUUCAAGUCGCGUGUGAAAGCCCCCGGCUCAACUGGGGAGGGUCACGCGAUACUGAUCGACUCGAAGGCAGGCGAGGGUAGUGGAAUUCCCGGUGUAGUGGUGAAAUGCGUAGAUAUCGGGAGGAACACCAGUGGCGAAGGCGACUACCUGGCCUGUUCUUGACGCUGAGGCGCGAAAGCUAGGGGAGCAAACGGG
rnacentral:rRNA from 1 species